CAGGAGCGGUGUAUCACUGCACACAGGGACUACUUUGAUCGGGUUGGCUGCCAAAUUUAAAUGAGGAACCCGAACGCAGCUUUUCCCACAAUCCUCAGGCUGAGAAAGGAGCUGAGCUUUCUGGUCUGGAAGUCAUUCUGCUGCCGAUACUCUCCUCCAGAGAGAGUGUGUGUCUGUCUGUGUGUGUGUCUGCCUGUCUGUGUGUGUGUGUGUGUGUGUGUGUGUGUGUGUCGGAGAAAGACCACAGCUUUAUGUGCAUGGAACUAAUGACCUAAGGGCUAAGUGACGACACAGGGGAGAAGAGGAUGGAGAGAGGAGAUAAUGAUGGGGUGGAGAGGAUGGCGGGAUGAAAGGAGAAGAGUGGAAAAGUAUAACAGGAGAAAGGUGAGAGGAAGAGAAGGAUAAGAGGAUAAAGAGAGCAAUAGAAAAAGGACGGAGGGAGAGAGACAUGGGAUGAGGAUUAAGGCAGGAUGAAGGCAGAGAGGAGGAAGGAAGGGAGGAGGAGGAGAGGAAGGAGAGGGGAGAGAAAUAUGAGACUGGAGGGAGAGGAAAAGACUGGAUGGAGAGGGAUAGAAGGAUGAAAAGAGACAUGAGAGACGGGUGGAGGAGGGGGAUGGGGGAGAGAGAUGAGGUAAGACUGAUGGAGACAGAGGAGGGGAAGAUGGAAGAAGACGGAAGAGGAGGAGAGAAGGAAGAGAAGUAGGAGAGGCUGGAGGGAGAGAAAAAGGAAGGAUGGGAAAAGAGGGAUAUGAUGAGGGAAGAGAAGGAUGGAGGGAGAGGAUGAGUGAGACAGGAGAAGAGGAUGGAAGAGGAGAGGAUGAAGGAUGAGAGUAGAAAGUAAAAUGAAGGAAGAAAACAGGAGAGGCUAGAGGGAAAGAAAAAAGAGGAUAGAGAAAAAGAGGGAUACAAUGACGCAGAUAGAAGGACGAGAGACGAGUGGAAGAAGAAGCUGGGAGGAGAAAGUUAAGCUGAGGAUGAGGGAGACAGAGGAGGAGGAGAGGAUGAAAGAGGAAGAGGGAGAGAAGGAAAGAAGUAUAAAGAGAAAGAACAGAGAAAGAAAUGAUGAAGAGGGAGAAGAGGGACAGAGGGAGCCAGCACCUUAUUGUACAACAUGGCCGACUAAACGCCCUCCAGAGACCUUCAUCAAAGCUACCGCAUCAUCAGAAAUACACACAACUACAGCCACUGUGUGUGUGUGUGUGUGUGUGUGUGUGUGUGUGUGUGUGUGUGUGUUAAGCCUGCAGCAAGGUGGAGGCCAGCGGAGGUCAGUGUCUCUCAGAGGAGGCGACAGACUGACAUCCUCGUCACAGCAGGACUUCAAAAUCCACUCAACACUACUCCAUUUUCAGCUCCUGUUCAGCUGUUAAAGGACUACUGCACUUUUUUUGGCUCAUGUUUAUACUCUGGAUGUUUUUCAGUCAGUGUUUUUCCUCACUCUGGCUCAUUUACACCUGAAAAUAGUCCACUGCUGUGCUUUUAAAGCUGAACACGUUUUGCAAAAUUCAACCAACUAUGGAGGUUUCUCACGUAUCACAACCCAGUUAAAAACAAAAAACCUUACUCUGGUCAUAAGUCAGGUUAUCAACCUGCAAUUCAUCACAAAAUAAAGAGAACUUGCAUUUCCUCGUGCUCAGGGACCAAAGUUGCAUCUUCAGUUUGCUUGUUUUAUAUGAACAACAGUUGAAAACUCAAAUUAAUUCCAUUUCCAGUACAUGACAGAGAGAAAGCUGGAAGCACAUAAAAUGUCCCUGUAUCUUAAUGCGACAAAAGCUCUAAACACUGGGAGACAGUGAGGGAACCCCAGUAACACAGAGGCUAAAAAAAGAUGUGGACAGGAUCUCACCCACUCGGACCAAGCUGAGGGGAAACGAUCGUUCCACGCAUUCAAAAUGACACUGAUCGAUGAGAAGUGCAGUCACAGCUGAAAACCAGGUGGCAUUUCACUCCUGAUUGGCUGAGACACGGCUGACAAUACCAGUGAUCCAGGACAUUUUCACUGCUGUCUUGUUAGGAGUUUAAGACCGUCAGGAUUUAUUUUAAUAUUUCAAUUUCUGCUGAGUGUCAAAAAAGGGUAAAAUUGAGUGCACACAGCCUGUCAAAUUCAUCACAAGGUUUUCUUUUGGUAUUUUUCCAACUGACUGGACUGAACAUGUCAAAAGUUUCACCAUACAUUAGUUAUAUAAACUCUUAUUGAAUAACUUUUACUGGUAUGCAAUAAUCCAUCAGUAUCACACUUAAUUAUUAACAGUUACACCCAUAUUCCUGUUAAAUGCUGCAGAUAUGAGCCUGAUAAAUGACAGAGGGCACUCCCUCCAUAUUACAUUACAGUGUCAGUCUGAAACCUGAUCUAUCUGUAAUGAUUUACUUCACCUGAAUCACAAUACUUUUUUUGUCAAAGAAAAUGGUCACAGCAGCAAGAACGUCAUCAUCAGUGUCAAAAUGGCGCCCACUGAGCUCCUCCUUUGUCUUAGGGGAAGAGGCAGUAGGCAGGAGGGGGUCAGUACUGUCUAUUUUCUCAGAUAGAGCUGAUUUAUAAUUUUCAAUUACCCAAAACAGAAAAAACGUUAUUCAUUUCAAACUUUCUCUUAAAAACAAAACCAAGAUUAUUUAUUUUUGUUGUUUUGGUAAAUGGUUAAUAAUGUAAUUCAAGGUUAGCAGAGGGAACAACACUCUGAUAUGUCUGAAGCUCCACUUCACAUAUUAUUACCUCUUUUAUUGCUCCAUUAAAAUGUGGUCACUUUCUCUGUCAGUUUGAUGCUCGUUUGUUUUCAACGCGCUCACAUGUCGCUGGCGGCAUCGUGACAGAAAACAUGAGAGAGAGAGAUAAAAAAAGAGAGAGGGAGAAGGGCAACAUAAGGGCUUUUCAAGGCAAACUAAUGGAAGACUGGACUGCUCAAAUACAGCCACAGGACACACACUCUGUCACACACACACACUUACACACAAGCCCCAUUAGACCAGAUGACUGCCUUGGAGCCAGGUGGCAGAGCACUAGCCUCUCUCUCACCCUUUUUCCUUUCUCUUUGCACAACCUGCCCCAAGACACACACACAGACACACACACAGAGUUUCAGCAUGCUAAUUCAUCUUCCCACCACACACACACACGAUCCGUCCACAGUGUUGUAGCCCCCAGCCCGGCUCAAACUGGCGUCGUCUGUCCCCCGCCCUCAGGUUAGUUGCAAUUGGACAAGGUCCUAAUACUUUGCUACACACACACACACACACAAACACACACACACGCUGCGGGACAUAACCAAUCGCCUUAAUCUAAUACUUGCAUUGGCCCCAUGACUUUAAGCAAUAUGAAGAGAGAGAGUAGGAACAGUACAGCAACUACAUCUGAAAACACUGAGCAUCUACACUGAAACGUCUAAACAACAGGAAAACAACUA